ACAAGAUAAUAGUUUGUGUUG
rnacentral:miRNA from 1 species